rnacentral:sRNA from 1 species
UACAAUCAAGAAGGAAUGAAGACGAAGA